AGAGGGGCACCUGGGGAACUGAAACAUCUAAGUACCCAGAGGAAAAGAGAUUAUUUCCCUAGUAGUGGCGAGCGAACGGGAAUCAGCCCAAACCAGAGAGGCUUGCUUCUUUGGGGUUGUAGGGUCCGGCAUAUGGAAGUUACAAAUCAAUCUGCUAGCAGAAAGGUGUGGGAAAGCCUACCAAAGAGGGUAACAGUCCCGUAUGCGAAAGUGGAUUGACUUCCGCUGGAUACCUGAGUACUGCCGGGCACGCUAAUCCGGCAGGAAGCUGGGGAGUCCACUCCCCAAGGCUAAAUACACUUGGCGACCGAUAGUGAACAAGUACCGUGAGGGAAAGGUGAAAAGUCCCCCUGUUAGGGGAGUGAAAUAGAACCUGAAACCGUAAGCUUACAAUCAGUCGGAGGGCUAACAGCGUGUCGGUGCUAUGGCGAAAGCCUGUGCGCGGCGCUAUGCCUGACGGCGUGCCUCUUGGAGAAUGAGCCUGCGAGUUAAUCUCAGUGGCAAGGUUAAGGAAGUGACAUCCGAAGCCGUAGCGAAAGCGAGUCUGAAUAGGGCGUAUAGUCGCUGGGAUUAGACACGAAACCGGGUGAGCUACCCAUGGCCAGGGUGAAGCGAGUCUAAAAGCUCGUGGAGGCCCGAACCCUUUAAUGUUGCAAAAUUAUGGGAUGAGCUGUGGGUAGAGGUGAUAUGCCAAUCGAACUCGGAGAUAGCUUGUUCUCCCCGAAAUAGCUUUAGGGCUAGCGUCAUGCGUUUAGUACCGGAGGUAGAGCACUGGAUGAGCUAGGGGGCUUACCGCUUACCGAACUCAACCAAACUCCGAAUGCCGGUACUCCAGAGCAUGGCAGUCGGACUCCGGGAGAUGAGUUUCGGGGUCGAAAGGGAAACAGCCCAGAUCAUCGGCUAAGGUCCUCAAAUCCAGACUAAGUGGGAAACGAGGUGAGGUUACUCGAACAACCAGGAGGUUGGCUCAGAAGCAGCCACCCUUUAAAGAGUGCGUAAUAGCUCACUGGUCUAGUGACCUUGCGCGGAAAAUUUAACGGGGCUAAGUCUGGUACCGAAGCCAUGGGUCUUGUCGCAAGACAGGGCAGUAGGGGAGCGUUCCGCCAGCAGUGAAGGUCGACCGUAAGGACGGCUGGAGUGGGCGGAAGUGAGAAUGCAGGCAUGAGUAGCGUAUAAACACGUGAGAACCGUGUUCGCCGUAAAUCUAAGGUUUCCGACGCCAGGUCAUUCCGCGUCGGGUUAGUCGGCCCUUAGCCGAGGCCGAAAGGCGUAGGCGAUGGACAUCCGGUCAACAUUCCGGAACCAUCUGGAAGGAGCGAUGAGGGGACGCAGCGAGGUAGGCCAGCCUGCGAUUGGUUGUGCAGGUGCAAAACGUCUAGGUGUUGAGGUCUGUAGGGAAAUCCGCAGACUGAGCUGAAGCGUGAAUGCGAGCCCUUGAGGCGGAAGUGGUUAAGCCUUGCUGUCGAGAAAAGCCUCUAAGCGAUGAAUUCCAGAUGCCCGUACCGCAAUCCGACACUGGUAGAUGGGUAGAGUAUACCAAGGCGAACGGGAGAACCCUCGUUAAGGAACUCGGCAAUUUAACCCCGUAACUUCGGGAUAAGGGGUGCCUUCUGACGUGAGUGAAAACAGAGCGUUGGGAGGUCGCAGUGAAAUGGUUCUAGUGACUGGUUAACAAAACCACAGGUCUCUGCAAAGCCGUAAGGCGAUGUAUAGGGGCUGACGCGUGCCCAGUGCCGGAAGGUUAAAGGGAGAGGUUACCCUGAGCGCAAGCGAAGGGGAAGCUUUGAACUGAAGCCCCGGUGAACGGCGGCCGUAACUAUAACGGUCCUAAGGUAGCGAAAUUCCUUGUCGGGUAAGUUCCGACCCGCACGAACGGUGUAACAACUAGAGCAGUGUCUCAACGAGGGACCCGGUGAAAUUGAAAUGGCUGUGAAGAUGCGGCCUACCCGCAGUAGGACAAAAAGACCCCGUGGAGCUUUACUGCAUCUUGGCAUUGAGUUUGAGUAUGAUCUGUGUAGCAUAGGUGGGAGGCUUUGAAGCUGGCGCGCUAGCGUCGGUGGAGCCUCCAGUGAAAUACCACCCUGAUUAUACCUAGACUCUAACCCCGCACCGUAAUCCGGGCGGGGGACCGUGCCAGGUGGGCAGUUUGACUGGGGCGGUCGCCUCCUAAAAGGUAACGGAGGCGCCCAAAGGUUCCCUCAGGCAGAAUGGAAACCUGCCAAAGAGUGUAAAGGCAUAAGGGAGCUUGACUGCAAGACCAACGCGUCGAGCAGAGUCGAAAGACGGGCUUAGUGAUCCCACGAAACUGAGUGGAAAGGUCGUGGCUACCGGAUAAAAGCUACCCCGGGGAUAACAGGCUGGUGAGAUCCAAGAGUUCACAUCGACGAUCUCGCUCGGCACCUCGAUGUCGGCUCAUCGCAUCCUGGGGCUGUAUAAGGUCCCAAGGGUCGGGCUGUUCGCCCGUUAAAGCGGUACGCGAGCUGGGUUCAGACCGUCGUGAGACAGGUCGGUCUCUAUCCACUGUGGGCGUAAGGGAUUUGAGAGGAGCUGCUCCUAGUACGAGAGGACCGGAGUGGACAGACCUCUGGUGUGCCAGUUGUCGUGCCAACGGCAUCGCUGGGUAGCUACGUCUGGCAGAGAUAACCGCUGAAAGCAUCUAAGUGGGAAACUCGCCUCAAGAUUAGAUCCCUGUAUUCCCUUAAGGGAGUAAGACCGCAGGUAGACUACCUGCUUAAUAGGCGGCGUGUGUAAGCGCAGUAAUGUGUUGAGCUAAGCCGUACUAAUGGUCGAGGGCUGAUUCGC
rnacentral:rRNA from 1 species